GUUUAAGUGCCUGCCUUUAAUAGAUAUUUUCGCUGUCGCCGCCGAGUAAUGUCUGCCUUAUGGGCGAGUCAAUCUCGAGUCAAGUUCAUCUCCUCGACUGCCUUUUUCGCUCGCUCAGCUGCCGCACACGCCUGACUGGCCUCCUCUGGUUCCCGAAAACAAUUGACACUUGCCGACAAUCUGCAACCAGCAUCAACGUCUCGCUAUGCCACCCUGAAAGGCCACUCCCGCCCCACCCAGAGAAUCUACAUUGUCAUGCGGCUAUGCUGCAGUUUUCCCAGUUUCGCAAGGGAAAAGCAAGGAGCCUGGGAUCCAAAAAGAAGACCGAAGAAAGUGAGGAGCGUAGAAAAUGGCACUCGAAAGCUGCGGAAAAGUCGUGAUUGCAGUCGAAAACGCUUAGCAAGACGUCGAAGGGGCGUGGCAGGGGGACACGCUCAAAGCGAGCCAUAAGAAAAUAAAGCGAAUGGCAAACAUGGAGAAUUUGAAGUGAAGUCAAGUCUCGGAUAGCUGCAGCCACUGAGAACUUGAGACCAAGGUGAGGAAAGGCAUUGUUAGAUGCCUUCGCUGUUCAAACAGUCAUGUGUGGUGCACUG
ensembl:ncRNA lncRNA:CR45239 long non-coding RNA:CR45239